AGAAUCAACGCUGGCGGCGUGCCUAACACAUGCAAGUCGCACGAGAAAGGGUAGCAAUACCCUGAGUAAAGUGGCGCACGGGUGAGUAACACGUGACUAACCUACCCUUGAGUGGGGGAUAACUGAGGGAAACCUUAGCUAAUACCGCAUAAUACCCACGGGUCAAAGGAGCAAUUCGCUCGAGGAGGGGGUCGCGGCCGAUUAGUUAGUUGGCGGGGUAAUGGCCCACCAAGACGAUGAUCGGUAUCCGGCCUGAGAGGGCGCACGGACACACUGGAACUGAAACACGGUCCAGACUCCUACGGGAGGCAGCAGUGGGGAAUUUUGCGCAAUGGGGGAAACCCUGACGCAGCAACGCCGCGUGGAGGAUGAAGUCCUUCGGGACGUAAACUCCUUUCGAUCGGGACGAUUAUGACGGUACCGGAAGAAGAAGCCCCGGCUAACUUCGCGCCAGCAGCCGC
rnacentral:rRNA from 1 species